GUUAGGAAUAUUGGACAAUGGGCGCAAGCCUGAUCCAGCCAUGCCGCGUGAGUGAUGAAGGCCUUCGGGUUGUAAAGCUCUUUAGCCGAUGAUUAUAAUGACUGUAGUCGGAAAAUAAGCCCCGGCUAACUUCGUGCCAGCAGCCGCGGUAAUACGAAGGGGGCGAGCGUUAUUCGGAAUCACUGGGCGUAAAGCGUGCGUAGGUGGCUUUGCAAGUUGGGAGUGAAAGCCCAGGGCUCAACCCUGGAAUUGCUCUCAAAACUGCAAGGCUCGAAUUCGGGAGAGGAUAGCGGAAUUGUCAGUGUAGCAGUGAAAUGCGUAGAUAUUGACAGGAACACCAGUGGCGUAAGCGGCUAUCUAGACCGAUAUUGACGCUGAGGCACGAAAGCGUGGGGAUCAAACAGGAUUAGAAACCCGUGUAGUCC
rnacentral:rRNA from 1 species